AGAACGAACGCUGGCGGCAUGCCUAAUACAUGCAAGUCGAACGAAGGCUUCGGCCUUAGUGGCGCACGGGUGCGUAACGCGUGGGAAUCUGCCCCUUGGUUCGGAAUAACAGUUGGAAACGACUACUAAUACCGGAUGAUGACGAAAGUCCAAAGAUUUAUCGCCAAGGGAUGAGCCCGCGUAGGAUUAGCUAGUUGGUGAGGUAAAGGCUCACCAAGGCGACGAUCCUUAGCUGGUCUGAGAGGAUGAUCAGCCACACUGGGACUGAGACACGGCCCAGACCUCCGUACGGGAGGCAGCAGUAGGGAAUAGUGGACAAUGGGCGAAAGCCUGAUCCAGCAAGUGCCGCGUGAGUGAUGAAGGCCGUUAGGGUUGUAAAGCUACCUUUACCGAGAUGAUA
rnacentral:rRNA from 1 species